AUUGAACGCUGGCGGCAGGCCUAACACAUGCAAGUCGAGCGGAUGAAGGGAGCUUGCUCCUGGAUUCAGCGGCGGACGGGUGAGUAAUGCCUAGGAAUCUGCCUGGUAGUGGGGGAUAACGUCCGGAAACGGGCGCUAAUACCGCAUACGUCCUGAGGGAGAAAGUGGGGGAUCUUCGGACCUCACGCUAUCAGAUGAGCCUAGGUCGGAUUAGCUAGUUGGUGGGGUAAAGGCCUACCAAGGCGACGAUCCGUAACUGGUCUGAGAGGAUGAUCAGUCACACUGGAACUGAGACACGGUCCAGACUCCUACGGGAGGCAGCAGUGGGGAAUAUUGGACUAUGGGCGAAAGCCUGAUCCAGCCAUGCCGCGUGUGUGAAGAAGGUCUUCGGAUUGUAAAGCACUUUAAGUUGGGAGGAAGGGCAGUAAGUUAAUACCUUGCUGUUUUGACGUUACCAACAGAAUAAGCACCGGCCAACUUCGUG
rnacentral:rRNA from 1 species